rnacentral:rRNA from 1 species
UACGGAGGGUGCAAGCGUUAUCCGGAUUCACUGGGUUUAAAGGGUGCGUAGGUGGGCAGUUAAGUCAGUGGUGAAAUCUCCGGGCUUAACCCGGAAACUGCCAUUGAUACUAUCUGUCUUGAAUGCCGUGGAGGUAAGCGGAAUAUGUCAUGUAGCGGUGAAAUGCUUAGAUAUGACAUAGAACACCAAUUGCGAAGGCAGCUUACUACACGAUCAUU